UACAUAUGUCUCAAGCGUUGUUCGGAUUCAUUGGGCGUAAAGGGUGUGUAGGUGGCGCGCUAAGUCGGGUGUGAAAUUUCGGAGCUUAACUCCGAAACUGCAUUCGAUACUGGCGUGCUUGAGGACUGGAGAGGAGACUGGAAUUCAUGGUGUAGCAGUGAAAUGCGUAGAGAUCAUGAGGAAGACCAGUGGAGAAGGCGGGUAUCUGGACAGUUCCUGACGCUGAGGCACGAAGGUCAGGGGAGCAAACGGG
rnacentral:rRNA from 1 species